rnacentral:ncRNA from 1 species
CUUUUUGGGGUUUUAAGCAGGAGGUGUUUAAAAAGUUACCACAGGGAUAAAUGGCUUGUAGCAGCUAAGUGUUUAUAAUGAAGUUGCCUUUUGAUCCUUUGAUGUUCCCUCUUCAGCCUGGCACUGGCGGAG